rnacentral:rRNA from 1 species
AUGAACGCUAGCUACAGGCUUAACACAUGCAAGUCGAGGGGCAGCAUCAUCAAAGCUUGCUUUGAUGGAUGGCGACCGGCGCACGGGUGAGUAACACGUAUCCAACCUGCCGACAACACUGGGAUAGCCUUUCGAAAGAAAGAUUAAUACCGGAUGGCAUAGUUUUCCCGCAUGGGAUAAUUAUUAAAGAAUUUCGGUUGUCGAUGGGGAUGCGUUCCAUUAGGCAGUUGGCGGGGUAACGGCCCACCAAACCAACGAUGGAUAGGGGUUCUGAGAGGAAGGUCCCCCACAUUGGAACUGAGACACGGUCCAAACUCCUACGGGAGGCAGCAGUGAGGAAUAUUGGUCAAUGGACGAGAGUCUGAACCAGCCAAGUAGCGUGAAGGAUGACUGCCCUAUGGGUUGUAAACUUCUUUUAUACGGGAAUAAAGUGAGCCACGUGUGGCUUUUUGUAUGUACCGUAUGAAUAAGGAUCGGCUAACUCCGUGCCAGCAGCCGCGGUAAUACGGAGGAUCCGAGCGUUAUCCGGAUUUAUUGGGUUUAAAGGGAGCGUAGGCGGGUUGUUAAGUCAGUUGUGAAAGUUUGCGGCUCAACCGUAAAAUUGCAGUUGAUACUGGCGACCUUGAGUGCAACAGAGGUAGGCGGAAUUCGUGGUGUAGCGGUGAAAUGCUUAGAUAUCACGAAGAACUCCGAUUGCGAAGGCAGCUUACUGGAUUGUAACUGACGCUGAUGCUCGAAAGUGUGGGUAUCAAACAGGAUUAGAUACCCUGGUAGCCCACACAGUAAACGAUGAAUACUCGCUGUUGGCGAUAUACGGUCAGCGGCCAAGCGAAAGCAUUAAGUAUUCCACCUGGGGAGUACGCCGGCAACGGUGAAACUCAAAGGAAUUGACGGGGGCCCGCACAAGCGGUGGAGUAUGUGGUUUAAUUCGAAGCAACGCGAAGAACCUUACCAGGCCUUGACAUCCCUUGCAGAGGUAUAGAGAUAUAUCCGAGGUUAUCAAGGAGACAGGUGGUGCAUGGUUGUCGUCAGCUCGUGCCGUGAGGUGUCGGCUUAAGUGCCAUAACGAGCGCAACCCUUAUCGAUAGUUACUAGCAGGUCAUGCUGAGGACUCUAUUGAGACUGCCGUCGUAAGAUGUGAGGAAGGUGGGGAUGACGUCAAAUCAGCACGGCCCUUACGUCCGGGGCUACACACGUGUUACAAUGGGGGGUACAGAAGGCAGCUACACGGCGACGUGGUGCUAAUCCCUAAAGCCUCUCUCAGUUCGGAUUGGAGUCUGCAACCCGACUCCAUGAAGCUGGAUUCGCUAGUAAUCGCGCAUCAGCCACGGCGCGGUGAAUACGUUCCCGGGCCUUGUACACACCGCCCGUCACACCAUGGGAGUUGGAUAUGCCCGAAGUCAGUGACCCAACCGUAAGGAGGGAGCUGCCGAAGGUGGAGCCGAUAACUGGGGUG